AAUCAACGCUGGCGGCGUGCCUCAGACAUGCAAGUCGAACGAUUAAAGCUCCCUUCGGGGAGUGCAUAGAGUGGCGCACGGGUGAGUAACACGUAAGUAAUCUACCUUUGAGUGGGGAAUAACGUUCGGAAACGGACGCUAAUACCGCAUAAUGCAGCGGCAUCGCAAGAUGACAGUUGUUAAAGGAGCAAUCCGCUUAAAGAGGAGCUUGCGGCAGAUUAGCUUGUUGGUAAGGUAACGGCUUGCCAAGGCUACGAUCUGUAUCCGGUCUAAGAGGACGGUCGGACACACUGACACUGAAUAACGGGUCAGACUCCUACGGGAGGCAGCAGUCGGGAAUUUUGGGCAAUGGGCGAAAGCCUGACCCAGCAACGCCGCGUGAAGGAUGAAGUAUUUCGGUAUGUAAACUUCGAAAGAAUAGGAAGAAUAAAUGACGGUACUAUUUAUAAGCUCCGGCUAACUACGUGCCAGCCGCCGCCGUAAG
rnacentral:rRNA from 1 species